ACGAACAAUUAAUAAAAUAUAUUUUCGAAUUUCUCAUUCCUACAAUAUUCUGUACAGUUUAUUUGAUUUUAGAUUAAAUUGCGAAGUGGGGAUAGUGAACUGCGAGAGGGGAGAACAAAGACGGGCCUUCGACCGACUCUUACAGUUACUGGUUCAGUUGUAUUUUGGACUUUGACGAGGGUACUUAGAAAAUUUCGCGGAGGUCAUUCCUGCAAGUAUUAACGAACAGUUAGUAAAAUAUAUUUCCGAAUUUCUCAUAAUUACAAUAUUCUAUAGCGUUUAUAUGAUUUUAGAUUGAAUUGCGAAGUGGGGAUAGUAAGCUGCUAGAGGGGACAACAAUGACGGGCCUGCGACCGCCUCUUACAGUUACUAGUGCAGUUGUGUUUUGGACUUCGACGAGGGAACUUAGAAAAUUUCGCGGAGGUCAUUCCUGCAAAUAUUAACGAAUAAUUGAAUUCCGAAGUGGGGAUACUCGGCUGCGAGAGACGACAACAAAGACGGGCCUGCGACCGCCUCUUACAGUUACUAGUACAGUUGUGUUUUGGACUUCAACGAUGGAACAUAGAAAAUUUCGCGGAGGACAUUCCUGCAAAUAUUAACGAACAAUUGAAUUGCGAAGUGGGGAUAUUCGGCUGCGAGAGAGAACAACAAAGACGGGCCUUCGACCGACUUUUACAUUUACUAGUUCAGUUGUGUUUUGGACUUCGACGAGAGAACUUGGAAAAUUUCGCGGAGGACAUUCCUGCAAAUUAAAUUGCGAAGUGGGGAUAGUGAGCUGCGAGAGGGGAGAACAAAGACGGGCCUGCGACCGCCUCUUACAGUUACUGGUGCAGUUGUGUUUUGGACUUCGA